UGCUAUACCGUGGCUUUCACUUGCCAAAAGGAGAAGCUUACAUAUACAUAUAUAUCUUAGCCUUUCCUUUUCAACACUCCUCACUCUGGAGAAAAAUCACACACACGCCUAACACUAAGAAUCUGGGGAUAAGAAGUACGAGGGAAGGAAUGAAAUUUUCGCAAUACUAAGGCCCACAACUAACACUCACAUCAAGGCUAUCUCCGCGAGUUAAGGGCGGAGUCACGAAAAUUCAAGUUAAAGAAACUAAACGAUCAAGGUUGAGCAGCGAAGUGGUGGGGGAAGUGCUAUUGAGACAAGGCAUUUAAUUCGG